rnacentral:lncRNA from 1 species
CUCCCAUCUCAGCCUCCCAAAGUUCUGGGAUUACAGGCAUGAGCCACCGUAGUGAGGGUAGCAGUGGUGGUAGUAACAGUAGGUAGUGAUGGUAGUGAUGUUAGUGAUGGUAGGUAGUAAUGAUAGUGAUGGUAGGUAGUGAUGGUAGGUAAUGAUGGUAGUGAUAGUAGGUAGUGAUGGUAGUGAUGGUAGGUAGGGAUGGUAGUGAUAGUAGGUAGGGAUGGUAGUGAUAGUAGUGAUGGUAGGUAAUGAUGAUGGUAGUGAUGGUAGGUUGGGAUGGUAGUGAUGGUAGGGAUGGUAGGGAUGGUAGUGAUAGUAGGUAGGGAUGGUAGUGAUGGUAGGUAGUGAUGGUAGUGAUGGUAGGUAGUGAUGGGUAGUGAUAGUAGGUAGGGAUGGUAGUGAUAGUAGUGAUGGUAGGUAGUAAUAGUAGUGAUGGUAGGUUGUGAUGGUAGUGAUGGUAGGUAGUGAUGGGUAGUGAUGGUAGGUAGGGAUGGUAGUGAUAGUAGUGAUGGUAGGUAGUGAUGAUGGUAGUGAUGGUAGGUAGUCAUGGUAGUGUUGGUAGGUAGUGAUGGUAGUGAUGGUAGGUAGGGAUGGUAGUGAUGGUACGUAGUGAUGGUAGGUAGGGAUGGUAGUGAUGGUAGGUAGGGAUGGUAGUGAUGGUAGUGAUGGUAGGUAGGGAUGGUAGUGAUGGUAGGUAGUGAUGAUGGUAGUGAUGGUAGGUAGGGAUGGUAGUGAUGGUAGGUGGGGAUGGUAGUGAUGGUAGGUGGGGAUGGUAGUGAUGGUAGUGAUGGUAGGUAGUGAUGAUGGUAGCAAUGGUAGGUAGGGAUGGUAGUGAUGAUGGUAGCAAUGGUAGGUAGGGAUGGUAGUGAUGGUGGGGAUGGUAGUGAUGGUAGGUAGUGAUGAUGGUAGCAAUGGUAGGUAGGGAUGGUAGUGAUGGUAGGUGGGGAUGGUAGUGAUGGUAGGUGGGGAUGGUAGUGAUGGUAGGUGGGGAUGGUAGUGAUGGUAGGUGGGGAUGGUAGUGAUGGUAGGUAGUGAUGAUGGUAGCGAUGGUAGGUAGGGAUGGUAGGGAUGGUAGUGAUGGUAGGUAGUGAUGAUGGUAGUGAUGGUAGGUAGUGAUGGUAGUGAUGGUAGGUAGUGAUGGUAGUGAUGGUAGGUAGGGAUGGUAGUGAUGGUAGGUAGUGAUGAUGGUAGCGAUGGUAGGGAUGGUAGUGAUAGUAGUGAGGGUAGGUAGUGAUGAUGGUAGUGAUGGUAGGUAGGGAUGAUGGUAGCGAUGGUAGGUAGUGAUGGUUGUGAUAGUAGUGAUGGUAGGUAGUGAUGGGUAGUGAUGGUAGGUAGUGAUAGUAAGUAGCGGUGGUAGCAUGGGGAUGCUGCCGUGAAGCAGAGGAGGCUUCACAAUUCUGAUUGUGAAGGCUUCAGAACUCUGAUCUUCUCAAUUCAGGUGGAAACGUGUCUUUAGGAUAGAAAACAAGUAAACUGCAGGAUUCCCUUCAAGGUCUAGUUCUUCCCUGUCCCUACUUUGGGACACUGCUGAACAGGCUCCAUCUGAGUUCAAGAAUCUGGGUGUAUCUGUGCAGGCCAACAAGCCAAUACAGCAGGCAUUUGAAAGACACACAUACACGCAGGCCAUGCUUUUAGUCAUGCAAACACACAGUGUCUAUAUAUCUAUGUGCACAGAUUUCUGGGCAUGAAUAUAUGUGUUCCAAGCCCCAGUGUACCUACAAGUUUUGAUAUAAACCUACACACAGACGUGCAGCAUAUGUACACAGAUAAUACUUAAGUGUCCACAUGUCUAGAACCUGGAACAAAGCUGCAUAUAAAAGCAGAUGGAACACAGCAGCAGGGCUAUGUCUCACGUUGUCGUUUCCUGAAGCUGAUGUACAUGAGACACUUCAUUCUAGUUCUGUGGUUUCUGCAAGGAACUGGUGGGCCAACCAUUCCUAAGGAAUAUGGUGUUGACAAGCUGAAGACAGGCUGCACCAUCACGCGGCUACAGCUGUUGUUCUGAAUUUCAAAUCUGGUGGCUUCAUUGUUGUUUUCCCAAAAGUUUCAUGAAUUAUGUCACCAAAAAACUCACUGAUUUAUGGAGUAAAGUUGAAGCAAUAUCUAGUUGGUGUGUUUUCAAAGAGAAUAAAUGGAUUUCUGCUUGCACUUCUAUUCCCAGAGCUGAGUAUUUGAGUGUUUGUUCUAGGAUCUGGUAUCACACAGCCUUAUCUCUAUCCCCACUGGGGUGAGGCCCCCCAAGGAAGUUUAGGCUGGAACUUGAGACCACUUAUCACCAAAUUAAUAAAAUAGAUUCAUUUGGAAUCAGCUGACUCAAAGCAGGAAGACUUGGACCCAAUUCAAACAUCUAGACCAAAACCUACACUCUGUUUGGUUAAGAUCGGAUAGAAAUUCUUCCUCUUCACAUCUCACAUCCAUGGACAUGUCAUGGCAGAAGGCUCCAUCGUCCUCAGAGCCCAGCCAGGGAAGGUGAGCAGGAGGCAGCACAUGGCUGCCCACCUCUGUAGAAUUCCAAGGAACAGAAGCUUUUUAAAAAUUCAGAUUCCAAGGCCUCAGCCUGGGCCUCCUGACUCCUGGCCAGGGUUUGGAGAUGUAGAAGGAGGUAGAAGGAGGAGAUAGAAGGAGAUGGAGAAGAAGGCAUGAGUCAGUUUCCUCCCACACUCCAGGCCUUUCCCAGGGGUUGGGGAAGCCCUUGGGAAGCUCUCCUCUUUUGCUGCAGAGAUAGAGAAAGAGCGUGGCUCUGAAGUUGUGGCAGUGUCCCUCAGAGACUGGUCACUCACUACUACAGACCACAGGCAGGCCAGUGCUCCCUCUGGGCCUCAGUGUACUCUUCUGUAAAAUGGGAAGAUCAUACUGGGUGACCUCAUCCCUAACACCUCGUCUCUAGCUCUCAACUUCUACCACUCCGCGAAGUCGUGUGGGCUGGAAGUCAGAGCGGCUUCCUCAAAGAGGCGGAAGAGGACCCAUCACAUGAAGGGGCUGGUUUGGCGAGGCAGAGGUGGGAAGGAACGGGGGUAAAAACCCUCCCACCUGGGUGAGCGUGUCCAUCGGAGCAGUGGUUCUCAAAUGAGAAGCCCUUCCCCAUGAGCGAAUCACAAAGUUAUUUUAGGUAGGUCAUACGAAAUAGAAAGAGAUACGAAACGUAGAACAGACAAUAACUCAGUGCCUGGCAAACAGUGAGCACUAUGCAAACACGAGUUAUUAUUUCUAUCGUGAGUCAUGGUCCAAAAGUUUGAAAUACACUAACUUUCUGUGGCUCACUGUCUCUAUUUCGUCACCAGCAUGUGACCUCCAUGAGUGAGGGAUUUUUGACAGUUCUGUUCACUCUUAAAGCCCCGUGUCUAAAACAGUGCCCGGCACAAAGUAAAGGCUCAGUAAGUAUUUACUGGAUGAAUAAAUCGGUAUCAUUCCAUGCAAUUGUUGUCACAUACAUAUAUUCCCUCUUGGGCUAGACCGCCUGGGUCUGAGUCUGGCAGAUGAAUUCUGUGCUCCCCAGCCCGGCAAACCUCCCUGGGACACGGGGACGUCACAGCUCCUCUUCUCGGUGCUGUUGAAAAGAGUGUAUGCGGAGCUCCAGGGAUGGCGGCAGGCAGCCUCCGCCCCGCACAAGGGUGCUGGGAGACAUCUGUCCCUCCCCACCUGCCCCUGUUCCCAGCUGCCCCCCACAUCUCAACCCCACAGUUCCCUUUCCUGGCAGGAUCACUGCUCGGCAUCCCUCUCCUGGCAGCGACAAAAAUGGCCCUCUUCACCCCGACAGCCUCUUCUCCUCGUCUGUGGCCUGCUUGAGCCAGGAUGGGACUCAUUUCCUUCUCAGGUGAAGACGUUGUUAGUGGAGAAAAUGAAUCUUGGGCUAAUGAGCUGAUCAGAACCUUGAGCUGCAAGAGGGCUCCGGCUCUCUUCAACUCCUGGCCCAGUGGUCCUCAGAGCGUGGUUCCCGGACCAGCAGCGUCCUUGUCAACCUAGGAACUUGCUAGAAAAGCACAUUCAUGAACCCGCCUCAGACCUACUGAACGGAAAACUCGGCGGUGGGGCCCAGCCUCCAGGUGACCCCAGAGCUUGCUCAAGUUUGAGAACCACCAGCCUAACUAUUGUUGAGGAGGGAGGAAGCGGUGGUGGCCCCACUUGGAAGUCUGGGCCCUGGCAGCAUCAGGACUGACUCGUGGGGGAGGCGCUGGGAAGGGAAAGGCGGUGGCUGCCGUUUUCAGAUGCCUGCCUCCCUUCCCAACCUCGUCAUCCUCACAAGGGGAGGUGGCUGCCAAGUCACCUAAAUGCUGAGGGCGGCAGGUAGUGGGAGCCGCAUUUCCCAAAACACUGCGGGGGCGGGAAAGGCCCCACCUAGGAGAUCAGAGCUCUUCCCAAACACCAACGGCAACCCCAGCUCAUCGGAGCCACCAGGAAUAAUUCUUGCCAUUAGCCCCAGAGUCUGCCGCUCCCUCAGGGUCCCUCUCCCGGCAUCUGGGGGCUGGAUUUUCACACACACAGUGUGUAUGGUCCCGGAACACAGACGGGUGCUGUCCUCAGAUCGGGGGCUAGCAGGGUCUGGAGGAGCCCUCCUCAACAGAUGAGUCCCUGUGACAUGACUUUCCAGAGCCAGACCUCCCGGCCUGAUCAGUGCUCGCCCCUACUUGCGGUGUGUGAGCUGACACGAUUUACCCUGAUGGGCAGCUGUUUAUUUUUACAAUUUAUGGUGAACCAUGUUAGAAGUUUUCCAUUUCUUCUAGUCUUAGAAAGUUUCUUUUAAAAAUAAAUGUAAGGCCGGGCGCGGUGGUUCACAGUUGUAAUCCCAGCACUUU